rnacentral:guide_RNA from 1 species
UAAAACACAAAUACAUCAGAUAGAAAGAGAU